AACAGCUCAAAUUUGAAAUCUGGCGCAAGCCCGAGUUGUAAUUUGUAGAGGAUGCUUCAGGGCAGCGGCCGGUCUAAGUUCCUUGGAACAGGACGUCAUAGAGGGUGAGAAUCCCGUAUGCGACCGGUUGGCACCCGUCACGUAGCUCCUUCGACGAGUCGAGUUGUUUGGGAAUGCAGCUCUAAAUGGGAGGUAAAUUCCUUCUAAAGCUAAAUACCGGCCAGAGACCGAUAGCGCACAAGUAGAGUGAUCGAAAGAUGAAAAGCACUUUGGAAAGAGAGUUAAAAAGCACGUGAAAUUGUUGAAAGGGAAGCGCAUGCAACCAGACUCGUCGGCGGUGUUCCGCCGGUCUUUUGACCGGUCUACUCGCCGCCGGCGGGCCAGCAUCACUUGGGGGCGCCGGAUAAAGGCGCGGGGAAUGUGGCUCCUCGGAGUGUUAUAGCCCCGUGCACAAUACGGCGAUCCUCGAGUGAGGUCCGCGCUUCGGCUAGGAUGCUGGCGUAAUGGUUGUUUGCGGCCCGUCUUGAAACACGGACCAAGGAGUCUACCAUCUAUGCGAGUGUUCGGGUGUCAAACCCCUACGCGUAAUGAAAGUGAACGGAGGUGGGAACCGCAAGGUGCACCAUCGACCGAUCCUGAUGUCUUCGGAUGGAUUUGAGUAAGAGCAUAGCUGGUGGGACCCGAAAGAUGGUGAACUAUGCCUGAAUAGGGUGAAGCCAGAGGAAACUCUGGUGGAGG
rnacentral:rRNA from 1 species